rnacentral:lncRNA from 1 species
AGAGGAAGAGGCUCCAGUGAGUUAUGAAGACAGCAUUUUCUUGACACCUCAGGUGCCAGGGUUGGACCUAAGAGGAGCACAAAGCCAACUUUGGGAGAAUGAGUAGAGCCCUUUACUGACAGAAAUUAGAAUGCAUUGCCUAGGGACUGGGAUGAAGAUUUGAGCCUGUAUCAGCUUUCGUCAGCUACAAUGGUGGUUUGAAGCCUCUUGUCUUUGUCCACAGUAAACACAUGGGUAGCCAUUCCCAUUAGUCAUGGCCUACAUACAGUUGAAAAAAGAAAAAUCAAUAUUCUUGGGGGAGGAUACCUUCCCUCUUGGCCAGUACCCCACUCCUACUGAAAAAUCAUGGAAUUGUGAGAAAAAGAAGGUAGACUUUGGAAAUGGAGAUUUCCAAUCUCCAGCUCUAAUUUCUCCCCUAAGCUCUUCGAUUUUUCCUCCCCAUUUCAGGUUUAAACUUUGUAAAUGUUCCACGUACACUUGAAAAGAAUGUGUAUCUGGCCGGGCGCGGUGGCUCACGCCUGUAAUCCCAGCACUUUGGGAGGCCGAGGCGGGCGGAUCACGAGGUCAGGAGAUCGAGACCAAGGUGAAACCCCGUCUCUACUAAAAAUACAAAAAAAAAGUUAGCCGGGCGUAGUGGCGGGCGCCUGUAGUCCCAGCUAUUCGGGAGGCUGAGGCAGGAGAAUGGCGUGAACCCGGGAGGCGGAGCUUGCAGUGAGCCAAGAUCGCACCACUGCACUCCAGCCUCGGUGACAGAGCGAAACUCCGUCUCAAAAAAAAAAAAAAAAAAAAGAAUGUGUAUCUACCCGCAGUUGUCAGGCGCAGUAUCCAUAUAUGUCAUUUAGGUCAAGUUUGUUGUAUUUUUACUGACUUUUUUGGUCUAGUUGUUUAAUCAUUCACUGAGACAGGUGUGUUAAAUCUCUCAUUAGGGUGAUGAUUUAUCUAGUUCCCAUUUUAAUUCUGUCCCAUUUGAUUUACAUAUUUUAAGCCUAUGUUAUUAAGUAUAUAUUUCUUCCUGGAAACUUAGUCUUUACUAGGAAAUGUCUCUCUCUCUUCUUUUUUGAGACAGAGUCUCACUCUAUCACCAGGCUGGAGUGCAGUGGCGCCAUCUCGGCUCACUGCAACCUCCGCCUCCUGGGUUCAAGUGAUUCCCCUGCCUCAGCCUCCCAAGUAGCUGGGACUACAGGUGUUCACCACCAUGCCUGGAUAAUUUUUUGUAUUUUAGUAAAGACAGAGAGUUUCACUAUUUUGGCCGGGAUGAUCUCGAACUCCUGACCUCAAGUGAUCUGCCUGCCUCGGCCUCCGAAAGUGCUGUGAUUACAGGAGUGAGCCACCAUGCCCAGCCUGGAAAUGUCUCUCUUUAUAACGAAAAAUACUUUUUGCAUUGAAAUCUACCUGGACUGCCUGGGCACGGUGGCUCAGGCUUGUAAUCCUAGCACCUUUUGAGGCCCAGGUGGGCAGAUCACUUGAGGUCAGGAGUUUGAGACCAGCCUGGCUGACAUGGUGAAACGCUGUCUCUACUAAAAAUACAAAAAUUAGCUGGGCAUGGUGGCGCAUGCCUGUAAUCCCAGCUAUCUGGGAGGCUGAGGUGGGAGAACUGCUUGAACCCAGGAGGCAGAGGUUGCAGUGAGCUGAGAUUGCACUACUGCCCUCCAGCCUGGGUGACAGAGCAAGACUCAGAAAAAAAAAAAAAAAGAAAGAAAAAAAAAGGACA